rnacentral:tRNA from 1 species
CCGUAGCUCAGUUGGUAGAGCAACUGACUUUUAAUCAGUAGGUCACAGGUUCGAUCCCUGUCGGG